GCGGAAACACCGGUUCCCCUACAAUCACUGAAGGUAAGCAACGUCGAGCUUAGUCAGUACUUGGAUUGAUGACCAUUUGGGAAUACCAGAUG